CGCCACCGUGAUUUCUUCACCCUCUCUCUCAUCUUCGAUCUACGAGGCAACAAGCACGGCAUUCUCUUGCUCUCGCCACCAGAAUUCCUCUUUCUCUUGUCUCUUUGAGCCGUUGCUGCGGUGCCACCUUCCUUCUAUCGACACAAUCAACAAUGCAACCGAAACGAGACCACAAUAGGUAGUAGGGGAAUCUUUUAAGAAGGCGUAGACCACUUAGCACUGAAUCGUGAGCUCUUUGAACUAGUGAAGUUGAUUUGACAAUCGGUAAAAGAAGAAGUUGAUUUGACCGGCAGAAGAAGGUGAAUCCCUUUCAUUUCUCAUUUUUAUUUAUUUAUUUAGCACGAAUAUGAUAGACCCUGAAGGAACAGGAGGCCAAACCCUAGAUACUUAGCUAUGAUGACUACAGAAUGUGGAAGACCAAUGGGUGCUUGACUUUUGGCUCACAAGUGGGCGAGUUGCUGUUGAGUUUGUUUAGGAGUUUGCUAAGUUUAUUUAGGAAGUAACCGUUGGUUUGACGACUAUAAAUAAGUUUGCAGACAUGUAGAUUAGGAGUAACUAAAAAUUGAUUGUGUUUGUGGUGAUAUCUCCUACACAAAUUGGAGACUUCAUUGCAAUUUAAAUAUUUUCAGCUUGAGUUUUUUCUUUUGUAGCUUUGAUUUCUGAUCAUCAAAACUGGUUCUGGAGUCAUUUAUAAUAAGGUGUCUGGCAGAUGUUUUUAUACCUACUGAGGUUUGGUGGCAGAGUCAUUUAUAAUAAGGUUUAGAUACAAAUAAACAAGCAUAGAGAGGAGACAGAGUAGCAGUUUAAACAAGAACUGAGAUUUGGUGGUAGCAUGGUAGAGUUAACAACUAACAAAUCAAAAGUUCAUUCUCAGAAGACAUUCACAACCACUAAAAUAGAACCAACUAGCAAGUAUGGAAAUAAUAGUGCCAUUAAAAUAGAACCAAAAAAUACAUCUUUAAGCAGAUUGCGCAUGCUCGUAUCAAAAGGAAAUAGUACACGAACACAUCGAACUCCUAGAGAAUACAAGCUACUAAUAUGGAAUAUUAUGAAGGUGCAAAAACAAUGACACUCUAAGUGACAACUUAACCAAUAUCCCAGAUUACUAAACUUCUUUAACUCUUAGAUAAUUAUAAUUUAGCACAAUCUGGUCUUGAAUAAAUUUACUUGGGCCAGAGUUGCACUACUUUUAAUAAUUAAAGAUAAAGAAAUCAACCAGACAAAUAGGAAGAUUUCUCCAUCCAGUAAGCUUAAACUAAUCUAAUUUUCAUAGAUAUUACUCAUUCUAGACUUUAGAAAAGAACAAAAAUCAAAAUUAUGUGCAAGGAUAUUUUACACCAUUUCACUAUUUCUGUUCUAUUAAUGGAUUCAAAUUAGGAACCUUGGUUCCAUAUCUUUAGCUAUGCCAUACCAGACAUGGGAUAUUCAACAGAAAUUCCACCCAUAUAUUCCCAAGUGAAUUCUGUUCUAUUCAAAAUCACUUACUAGAUUAUUAACAUUAUUGUUUCUGCUUUUCCUAAUCCCCUGAAGGUCUCACUCAUCAAUUGCUGCUAUAUUCUUUCUUUCUUGCAAUUACAUGAAGCCGAACUGAGUUCUAAAAUAGAGUUCUCUUGUGCCUGUGUCUUCUUGGAUCUCGUCUAUGUAUAAGGAUUGGGCUGGAACUCGUUUGAAGCUUUGGUUAUAAAAUCAUUUACACAACUUUUGGACAUUUUGAUAGUUCUUUUUGUUGUAAACCAUUUUUCUUUGGUUAGAUAGUGUAUAUCUUUGAUUUGGAUUACUUAUUAUGUUUUGAUGAAGUAAUAGUAUAUGGGAUCAUGCUUAUUGACUUAAAUGAAGUACUUUUAAUUUUUUGUUGUCUUAAAGCACUUGUGUGUAGAUUGUUGUAAAUAGGUUUUUAAUUCAUAGGUUUGAAAUGAAAGAAAAAAUGUGAAAAAAUUGAUCACAAAAAUAAAAAUGACAUUUGUUGUCAAAAAUUCGUUUGCAACGUUUGUUGCACGUUGCGAAAAGCCUCAUUUGCAACGUUCAAUGAAUGUUGCAAAAGCCUCAUUCGCAACGUUCAAUGAACGUUGCCAAAAUCAUCAAUUGCAACGUUCAAUGAAUGCUAUCAAAACUCUUUGCCCUACGGCAACGUUGAAACCCACAACAGACGUCUAAACGUUGCAAUGGUCUAUGACGUUUUCUGACCGUUGCAAAAGGUGAUUUUUGGUGUAGUGUUUAUUUCCAUUUGUGAGUUUGUAUCCUCUUAAGCAAUAUCUAGUUAUCUAUACCAGGGCAUAUUUCUGUCCAAGCCUCUUUUAUUCAAUCCAAAACUUAUUUGCCAUUGAUUGAAUGCUAGAUUUUCGUUCUAAAAUUGGGCAAACUAAAAAGUAUUUCUAAAUUAGAUGUGACUUUGAAUAUGUUAUUUUUUUGUUUCUAUACCUUACUUAAUAUUUGGACAAUGAAUUUUUUCUUUUUUAAUACAGAAAUCAAACAUGGUAACUUAAAAUUGUUACACCAUCAUCUCACAAUUGACACCGCCAUGAUCUAAGUAUUCUCCAUAAGUUGUAUAUUCAUGAUCCAUGAUCAUUACAAUAAUUCAAUAUGAUCUUGAGGAAUUUGUUGUUAUUUUUGCUUGCAUAUUUUUUUUUUCCAAUGAUUUGAAGAAAUUUGCUGACAUAUCCCUUUCGAAAUGGAGAGUAAAAUCUAGACAACAUCUUGGCAAAACUGUGAUUCCUUCACGAUUUUUAUGAGCAAAAUUAUUUUGAUAUUAAUUGAAAAGAUGGAUUGGUGUACGAAAUUCUCUCUUAUCAUCGCCCUUCAAGCAUAGUAAGAGUGACAUUGUUAGCAGAUUCUGAUGUUUUAUUGGAAGAGCGAGACCUAUUCCACCUCUUCGUAAAUUCAGGAUUCUGCGGCACUAGUAGGUCAAAGAUUUCACAGCUAAGUGUCGACGGAACAGUUGAUAUGGAGGGUCUAUUUACCAAAUGUUCUUGAACACGCAACAAUCCCAUGUGUAUGCAUCUCAUAAUAUUCUCCAAUGAGCUUGGACUUGAUAUUCUCAGAUCAAUCAAAUCCAGAACAUUGUCUUUGUUCCAUAAUUUCCAUGACUGGAUAAGAUUAAGAAGAAUAUCAAAGUUAGAAAGGUAGAUAUUACAGUGGACAAUUUUAUAAGUGAAGAAAAGUUUGCUUAUUACAUAUCUUACAAUCUCCAAUACUAAUAUGCCAAAAUUGAAAACAUUGGAUCUUUUUAAAAAACUAAAACCCAUCGCAUAUUCUGGAGCCAUGUAUCUAUUGUAACAGGAUUGUGUCACUAAACAGCACUAGUAUUGACAAUCCACAAUCUAAAUUGAAUGAAAUUAACAAGCACUUACCAAUUGUUAGAAACAAACAAGAUACCAAAAUAAGCCUGAUACCAAUUUGUUGAAAACAAUGCCAAAUAAUAAAGACGACAAAAUAAGAAAAAUAUAAAAAAUAAUGGAUCACACAAGAACACAAGAUUUAUGUGGAAGAAUGGGAGAAUUUCAAUAUAUAAAGAAACUAAAAUAAUGUUUACAAGAUUUGACACUCACAAUAUAAAUCUAAAUAAUUCUCUCAUGUUUCUAAUGUGUAUAACAAUGAUAUAAUUGUUAUGUUAUGUCAUUUAAGAGUCUACACCACAUGGAGUAUAUAUAGGAACUCAUUACAAGUGUUUUGGAUAAAAUACAACUCAAAAAACGAGUCAGAAUAGAAAAAGGGUUCCUGCCCAUAUAACACUGCCACUAGGUGGGUGGCAACUCCGUCACUUGAGUGAAACUACUCUCAGCUCUGUUUUUCACCCUCGAUGAUCAAGUGCCAAAGGUAGCGGCCAACUAGCAAAAUUGCAACAACUUUUUCUCCCCCAAGACUUAAAAAUCAAGUUUUCAAUUAUUCAAAAUCCUUUUACCAAUCAAACUUCCAAUUCUUGAUGAACUUUGAUCCCUUUUCAAUCGGAGUUCCAACUUAAGAAGACUACGGAUCCUUUUUAUUAAUUUACCAACCUAAUCCUAAUCCCAAUAAAAAUUCAGGUCAUACUCUAUAUGUAUAAUUAAAUGAAUCAAUAAUUUUACCUUUAAUUAACCAAUCACAUAAUAGCAUAUAGACAGAUGUUCUAGCACUAGUGAUAUUAGAUAAUAUUACUCAUUUUUAAAAAUUAAAACUAUUAGUCUUUUGGAAUCAAAUUUUAAGGGUCAACUCUUCAGAAUAAAGAGUAUUUAACUUUUAAAAAGUCUUUGAAAGAUGCUCUUAAUUCUUUACCUAUAGAAAGCUUGUUGUCCGUGCCACUUGCAGAAACAAGAAAUGGAAGAGGAAGAGCUUGAAUUGGUUGUUUUUUAUCCAACCUAAACUCAACCCAAUAUGAUCGAUUUAAUCGAAAAUCACACCAAUCCAACUCAAUUACUAGUUUAAACUCAACCCAACCCAACCCAACCUAAAUCGAUCGAGCUUGGGUUGGUCUUCUUUCGAAACCUGCAACCCUGUGGAUUGUUAACAAGUAAUAAAUUUAGUGAGUUGAGAUUAUAGUCCCACCUGGAUUAAAUUCAAUUCAAGUUCACUAGUUUCGCAUGGAAUUCAAAUUAAGUAAACACAAAGGGAAUUUAAUUUUGUGAUUAUUCUAAAUUAAUCUAAGAAAAUGGUAAAAUUAGAGUUUUUAUCAAAUAUAGAUGAUUGUAUUGGAUCUAGAAUCCGCCUACUGCUAUCUAUUUCAAUUAUUGAUUCAUAAUCUAAUUCUGUUUAUGCGUGCUUGACAAUUGAUAAAGUUAUGUUAUAUAAUUUCAUUUCUCAAGACAAAUUAAAUCUAUCCUAAGCAUGAUCCGGGUCUAUUCCUAGGCCAAGUUUCAAUUAUUAGAACGCAUUAAAAUUUGGAUUAUCUGUAUGAUUGCACACAUGAUAAAUGUUAUUCCUAACAUCUAUCGCACAUAUGUUAAUUUUGCUAUGUUUAGAAUUUUUUGUGAGUCUCACAACAUUAUAACAAGCAAGUAAUUAUCUAAUUAGUGGCCAAUCAAUUAAAUAGUGCAAUGAGUAUGAAAAAUUAAUCAAGAAACAUAAUAAUUAAAUGAAAUUACUAGUCUUGAAUAAAAAUAAAUAAACAAUAGGGUUCAUCUCAUCCAUUACAUGAAAAGAAUUAACCUAACAUGUUAUUUAAUAAAUCAUACAAAAAGAUUUGAAAAAACAUCGCCCGAAAUUGAAAACUAUGAUCGGAAAGUGACAGAUCAACUUCUUCUUCAUUAAUCUUCAACCCGUACUUUGAAUCUUUAAUCUCUCAUGUUAAUCGACUUUGAAUCCCAUGCUAGCCUCUUUCUUGCGGUGAAAAAUAUGUAUAUUAUGUGCUUCCCCUUUCUAGCCAUCCCUUGUAGCUUAAAUAGUAGGUUAUUUGAUUUUAAGAGUUCAGGUUUAAAAAAAAAAAAAAGCGUUGUGCCAUUUAGGCCCAAAAAUGGCCCCCACGUGCACCGUAUAAUUCAUUGUGUGCAGGUCAUUCACUAAUUUUUCUCUCGAUAAAUGGAUCGUACGGUGUUGCACACGCGAUAAUUAGAUUAUGCUCACGUAUCGUUAUGAAAUUUUUUCUUUUGAUGCAUUUUGGUCCUUUAAUUUCAUUCUUCAUUCAUUUUAGCUCCUUUCGGUAUCUUCUUGGUCCUCCACUUUCUCCAAUCAUUGAUAUUAGGUCCAAAUCAACUAUCAGCAGCACUUUGCAAUUCCCAAACUUUGGAUUUAGUUCAUUUUGGCUAAUUUUUCGCUGCUUCUAUCUACUUCUAUCAUCUUUCAUCAAGAUACACCUAAGAAAUGUAAUAUAUAAAAAUUAAGCCUCAGUUUAUUUAAAAUAAUAAUAAUUGUUCUAAUUUAAUGAUUAAGGAAAGUGUACAAAAUACACUUAUCAAACACCCCCAAAUUUGAACAAUUGUUUGUCAUCAAACAAUUUAAAACUUAACUACAUAAAAUUUUCACAAAUAACUUGAUUGAAUAACCUGCCUUUAGCCUCAGGAUUAGACUUUCAGAGUUGAAACUAUAAACUAUUUCAAAAUCAUAAUGCUAAGUCAUCUCUACAUAUCCAAUUCAAAAUUGAUGUGUGUGUGUGUGUGAGGAUUCAUGUGAAUUGUUGGAAUGCGGAAGCGGAAUUAGUCAGAAAUUAAAAAUUUCUUUAAUUCAAAAACAAGAUCUUCUAGAUGUUCACACGCAUAUUAUAUCAAAAAUAAUGAAUUCGAAUUUUUACCUAAAUUCGACGAUCAAUUCUUAAAUUAAUUCUGAAUCACGGAUUUCCAGCCUUUUAGAUCACGAACUUCCAGCUUUUUAAUUCCAAGAACUUGAUGCUUUCAACCUCCAAGUCUUCUGUGGCAUUCUCCAAAGUCAAGACUACACCGGUGGGUGGGCACCUUCUUUUAAUUAAAUCAAGAAACCAAUUCUUGAACCGGACAGUUGAAAAUUCAAGAAAAACAAUUUUCUCUCUCUAUUUUUCUCUCUCCAAAAAUUGAACACCAUGGGAUUAUGAAUGUUGUACAAUUCUAUUCCAUAGGAUGUCUAGGAUCCAUAUAAUCUUUAUAUAUAGAGAUCAAAGAGUUCCAAUCCUUAUACAACAAUAAUUCCACAUUCAAAUAGGAGUUCUAGUCCAAAUCCAGUUAGUUUACAUUUAAUUACAUGUGUAGUUCUCGAACUUUAAUUACAAUUAUAAUUAAGUUUACAAUUUUCGUAGUAAUUACAACUAAGUACAAAACUUUAUUAUAAUUAGAAUUAAGCCCAAAACUAUUAUAAUUACCGUAAUUAAGUUCCAAUACUUCAUGGAGCUACCACAGGGACUUGAUCGGACAUAUAUUUUCCAAGCUCCAAUAAUUAGAUCCUGUCCAGUCGACCUUAGACCAUUUAAUCUAAUUAUUAGUCUUUGCUUUUUCCACUAAAAGCAAAAGACUGAACUCUCGGAAUAUAUAAGAUCACAGGAGCCAAUAAAUCUGUAAUACUUUUCUCUGACCUGCUGUAUAUGUAUUUUAUCCCCGUCUGAGAUUCGAUAAUUAGGUACGAGCAUAAAUGACCAUUUUGCCCCUCUAAUUAUUCUCACUAACUUAAGUUUUAUUUUCUUCAACGGUCCUGUAAACUAAUCACAGAUGUCGAAGUUUAGCCGCCGCUAAACAUUGAGCUCAGAUUUUAACCGUUCAACAGAAAAUAUUUAAGUAGUCACUCUACCCAUUUUUCAGGGUGACGGUUCCCAACAUGAAUUCAUGUUCUCUUCUUCGUUCAUUCUCAAGUUCCCAACUCAUCGAGAUAUUUGACCAAUCAAAUUGAUCUCACCCAUUGAUGAAUCAAAGAACAAUUAAAAUCACGAAAAGAUAUGCAUAAUCCUGUCAAGGGAUUUACAUAAAAUACACAGCGAUCUAGUGAAAUUUAAUUCUCCGCACGGUCAUGCUAUAGAGAAUUAAAUUCGACACACGGUCCGUUCAAUACACUCUAAGUGUACUAGUGUCAGCUUUAACUAUGUCUGUGAUAAGGACAAAUCACUAACCUGAAUAGUAAAUUGGUCAACACUACAAUCUUCUAGUACAAGGUGCCAACCCUUAUACAUAGAUUGUGAACAAAUUAUUUAUGAUCAAAAUAUAAGUUAUGUCACACUAUACUUCUCAACGCAAGUACCCAACUUAUAUUAUUUCAAGCGAUCAUAGGUACUUUAAUUUGCAUGCUCAACAAAUAAAUAAAACUACAAUUUAUUUAUUAUAAAUGAUUAUUUUAUACACACCCUCUUCAGCCACUACGUUUAAACAUCCUCCAUUCAUAAAGUUUGGUUAUAUUUCUCUCUCCAUUUUUGUAUUCAAAAUUAUUCUUCUUAUUUCAAUGAUUUUUUAAAUUGAAAUGUAAAAUUGUAAUGUUGGGUGAUUUUUUCAUUUAUUUUUCACUGUUCUUUAUGUAAUUUUUUGUGAUUUAACAUGAUCCUGACUUUAAUUCUCUAUUACUAUUUUUUUUUUAACACUUUGUCACUUUCACAAUGUUGCUGGAAUUUUCUCUCGUGUCUCCUAAUUUCACUUUUUUGUCGGAUAUUCAACAAUAGAUUGAAGUCAUUUAGUCCAAAAUGGAUUGCAAGAAUGAUUAAGUUUCUGUAUACAAACAUUCAAUUUAUACUUCCCAUAGGUUCUAUUCUACAUCACAUUUAGUUAAUUUACAAAACCUUCUCUAUGGAUCUAGGUACUUGACUGGGUUUAGUUUUCAUUGUGCUCAGGGGUUCUGAGAAAAGGAAUAAAAAAGUCUAGACGUUCACUUUUAUGUAUGAUGUAGUUGUUUAACUUGUGUUUCAUUCCUAAAAGCUUAAUCUCACUGGUUGGUGUGCUAUUGCAGGCAACCAAAAAUAAAACCUAUACUCAUAAAAAUAUAUGUAGUAGUACAAGUAAGGAUCGUUCUCACGAAGAGUGUCUAAUCUAACUUCAUGCUAAGUAAACAAUGAUGGAGGUUCUAAUCAUAACGCAACCAAUUUAAAAAAAAAAUAACUAAUGAGCAAUGCAAAUUAAUGAAUCGAAAUAAAUCAAAAGGAUAAACUUUGAUCGAAGUUAACAUCCACCGUCCUAUCUCUCCUUAGUUGCAAUUAAUUAGAAAACUAUUGAUUCAAUUAACCCCUCAUCAAAGCAUAAAUUAUCAUCAAAUAUUAGUAUUCCUUUAGGGCAUUCUGCAAGAAAUGAACUGUUGAAGCUUGAAUUUUGGCUGUAAAUUUGUUCAUUGCAUGAACUUAUUUUUGUAAAGUUGUCAACAGGGAAAUCAUCAGAAUCAUUUAAAAGAUAAUUUUGUAUGGACUGAAGAAGGACCAUGUCCGAAUCUGAAAUGGGUUUUGCAUACAUUUUUUAGGAUUCCUAAUUUUUCCUUACACACAAUUGGUGUCAAAUUAAGGAUCUUAGUUCACUGUCAAAACCUAAAAAGUUUCUGGUUUUAUAUAUGCAUGACAGAAAACCCUACGUAUUCAUCUAGUGAUUUCCAUGAAGGUCCCUUAACGACGUAUUAAUUAAUUGCUAUUAGAUUUCACGUGAAAAUUAUGCUAAUUCUUUAAUAAUCGAAUAGUAAUGUUGACUGCAAGAAAUUGACAUAAUUUGUGGUUAAAAAAUAAACUAUUCUUUUCUUUAUUGGGUAGAUAAGAAAUGCAGCAUCCAGGCAAUAGGGCAUGAUAUAAAUAAUCGCACUGUCUUGACUCAUCGUUGACAAAUGGAAAACUUUACUGUUUUUUUAGUUAUUUAUGGGUACAAGGGGCAUUAAAUAAAUAAAAGAAUUUGAUGGACUAUAUUAAAAUACAAAUUGUUUCCUUAUUUUCAUGUAAUUUUAUUAGAAAUAUAUUAUUUCCUUAUUUCACAUUAGUUUCAUAUUUACGGUAUAAUAUGUACCUACAAAAUAAUGGUCUCGUCUUUCAGUUUAGUUCAAGACAAAAUUAUUGUGUUGUAAUUUUCUCUCCAUAUCGUCGUUAUACUAAAAUAUCGUUUCCUUUACUUAACUCUCUUUGAUUUUUUUACUUUAAAUCUUGUUUCAUCUAUGUGAUCUUCGUUACUUCAUAUUGCUCCAUUAAAUCUCAAUUCUUACAACCCUUUGGCGUUAACAUUAUUUUCUGUUAAAAGUGUCACAUAUACAAUGUUUAAAUCUUCAAUAUGCAAUAUGAUUCUUCAUUUUUUAUCAGGUUCGACAUGUUCCAGACCUGAAAAAGAAUCUCAUCUUGCUGAGUUCCCUAAAUGCAAAAGGGUAUAAUUUCUUUGGUGGAGUGGAGUCUUGAAGGUUCGAAGAGGUGUUCGUGUUGUACUGGAUGGACAGAAAAAGUUAAAGUUGUACAUCUUACAGGAAAGCGUAGAACCAGUUAAGAGACAUCUGGAUAAAUUUAGUACUGUGGUGGAUAUUUAGUUCUAGAUCGAUUCAAAACAUUGUUCAAGAGAGUAUUGGUGAUUUCUCUUUGCCACAAGUUUAAGCGAAAACUUUGUGUUCAGUUGCUAGGGUUGGACUCAUGGAAAAUAGCUACAGUGGUGUCAAUGAUAUCUGUAAUGCUUUUGAGAUCACUGAAGGUGAAAAUCAUAGCAAGGAGCCUUCUGAUCAGGCAUUUGGUGUAGUUUCUACUAGAGGGUAUGCUUCGACCCUGUUUGGUCAACAAUAAUUUCUUAGUGGAAUUUUGAGAACUUGAGAAUUGGGUUCGGAUGUUGCUUGUAGAUGUGGGGUAGAUGAAGAUUUUUUUGUAAUGGAGAGUUUUUGUUACUAUUUUAAAGAGUUCGAUUAUGUCAAUGCAAUUGGACAUACUUUUCCAGGUGGAGAAAUUUUGGAGAUUCAUUCGUUACACCGGAAUUUGGGUCAAGGUGGAGAUUGUUGGGUUUAUUACCUAAAUUAGGAAAAAAAAUCCUUAUUUUCACGUGGUAAAAACUGUUUCCUCAUUUUCACUUGAUUUUAUUGAAAAUAUAUUAAUUUUCUUAUUUCACAUUAUUUUCAUCUUUAUGGUAUGGUAUAUACUUAUAAAUAGUGGCCUCUUCUUUCAGCUUAGUUCACACUAAAAUUGUUAUGUUGUAUUUUUCUCUCCAUAUCGUUGUUUUAAUAAAGCAUUAUUUCCUCUCCUUAACUCUCUUUGAUUUCUUUACUUUAAAUUUUGUUUUAUCUUUAUGAUCUUGUUACAUAUUUCAUACAAUGUCAUUAAUCUCAAUAUUUGUGUCGCCUUUGGGAUCAAAAACCAGUGUCUUUGACAAUGUUUUCCACUUCUCUAAUACACAGUGUUUUGUCUACAAUUUGUUCUAUCUGUGGCAGCAAAACUACAACAUAUUAUUGCAACCUUGGCAUUAGGGAGUGCACGAAUAGGUGGGGGUUUUGCUGGACCAAGAAUUAAACCAAGAGAUGAGCUAUUUUGGUCUAAUAUGCCAUAAUUAUUAUUAUUAUCCUUAAGGCUAAAACAUGGUGGAUUUUGUACUCGUUCUUCUUAUUUUUCUUUCUUUCUUCCUCCUAGGUGGGGGUAGGUUGGUAAGCAGCUCAUGAAUUUGAUUAUAUCAUAUAUGAAGCUUUGACAUAGUUGUCCUUUUAAUGCAAUGGCAAUUUGGGUAUAAUUCCUUAUUCGUAAAGAAGCACUUGCUUUAUUAUCUACGAAUAAUUUUAGGGUAUGCAUAAAUUUUAAAUUGUAACAUGAAUUCCUUCUAUAUAUUCUGCAGAAAUAAAAUUAUGUUGGAGUAUCAUAAUCAAUAGCUUGAGACUGCAGUUUAUUUAGCGUAGGUUUGCGGGAUAGUUUUUAUGGAUUAUGCUACUUGUACAUAAUACGGUGUCAGUAUCCGAAGUCCCCCUUCAUGUGAAGGGAUGGACAUCGAUAAGAAUACCCUAAUGUACACGUAGUAUCACCCAGUUUUUAUGCCGUUAGAGCACCUUGCCACUCUAUAUAUGAGCACAUUAUUUACAUAUAUUGCACAAAAUGAGUGAAAAUACAUGUAAGUUUAUUUUUGUGAUAUGAAGGAAGUUGAUUAUUUUUUGGAUAGCUAAAGAUCAAAAGAAGCAAAUUUGUUGAUAUAUUGCUCGAUUAUUUUGUAAUAUUUAAAUCAAUUAUUUUUGAAUUGUAGUCUAUCCUUUUGACAUAUUGUAUCACUUUUUGAGUAGGUC
rnacentral:lncRNA from 1 species